AAUAGAUACCCCGGUAGUCCACGCCGUAAACGAUGAGUGCUAAGUGUUAGAGGGUUUCCGCCCCUUAGUGCUGCAGCUAACGCAUUAAGCACUCCGCCUGGGGAGUACGGCCGCAAGGCUGAAACUCAAAGGAAUUGACGGGGGCCCGCACAAGCGGUGGAGCAUGUGGUUUAAUUCGAAGCAACGCGAAGAACCUUACCAGGUCUUGACAUCCUCUGCCAACCCUAGAGAUAGGGCGUUCCCCUUCGGGGGACAGAGUGACAGGUGGUGCAUGGUUGUCGUCAGCUCGUGUCGUGAGAUGUUGGGUUAAGUCCCGCAACGAGCGCAACCCUUGAUCUUAGUUGCCAGCAUUCAGUUGGGCACUCUAAGGUGACUGCCGGUGACAAACCGGAGGAAGGUGGGGAUGACGUCAAAUCAUCAUGCCCCUUAUGACCUGGGCUACACACGUGCUACAAUGGAUGGUACAAAGAGCUGCGAACCCGCGAGGGUAAGCGAAUCUCAUAAAGCCAUUCUCAGUUCGGAUUGUAGG
rnacentral:rRNA from 1 species